UGAUUCAAGGUUUGUUUGUUUGUUGAGUGAAGGAAAUUCGGGGGCGAAUUUCAAUUUAAGGGGGGGAGAAUGUAAUAUCCCAUAUUCCCUUAAAUGCUCAAUUAGUUGUCAGUUGAGAUCAAUUGAGUACCUGUGUACUAUAUCUUUUGUUAGUUGUAACAAUUAGAGCUCCUUUGUGCUCUAAAUGUUGUCAAUUGGGACCAAUAGAGUAACCAGUGAACUCUGAAGGGAUUAAUUAUUAAUAAAGAGACAGACCAAUAUUAAUAAGUAUAAUAGAGGACAUUUUUGGUAACAUUAAUAAUUGGUCAAUUGGUGUUGGAAGAUGAAAUAUCAAUUGGGAUAUUUUGAUUACUACUUAAUAUUAUAUAUUAUAUAUAUUAUAUAUGUAAUGUAUUAUGUGUGGUAAAGGAAAGAAAAGAAGAAAGGAUAAGAAUAGAAGAAGAGAGAAUGAGAGUUAUCAGAAAGAAAAAGAAAGAGAGAAGAAGAAAAAGAGAAAGAAAGAGAGAAGAAGAAAAAGAGAAAGAAAGAGGAAAAGAAGAAAGAGAAAGAGGAAGAAGAGGAAGGAAGGAAGAAGAUGGAAAAUCAUCUUCAUCAUCUCAUCUUCAUCAUCACCAACUUCAUCUUCUUCUACUGGGUGAGUUCUUAGAUAGUUUUAGCAUUGGGGGAAAAAUAAUCUAUAUUUGUGGGGUUAGGGUUUGUGUAAAUUGGGAUAAAC
rnacentral:lncRNA from 1 species